UUUAAGGGGCUGUGAGCUCUUCACAUAGGAAGGGAAGAGCGAUCCAGCUGCAGUUUUCUGCAGCACCCCCCAGUAUGUGGGUUAAAACGGAAGAGCAGUCACAGCCCCAGAGCACCCAGCAGAGAUUUCCUGUUUCUCUGCCAAGCCAUGGUAGGGUUUCAAACCAAAAUAAAAGAAUUUAAUGAGUCCAUAGCAAAGGAAAUUCAGCUAAGUGCAGCAUGAUUAGGAUGCUAGUGCUAAUCUUUAAAAGUGAUAGUAUUUGAUCAAGGAAGAUGUCCUCCAAAACUGAUCUUAAAGUUGCAAUAAAAAAAUUCUGGCUAUAGAGCUGGAGAGUGAAGGGUGCUUGGGGGGAGCUCUCCCAGUCGGUAACAUUUCCUUCUGAACAUGACUUAUUGUAGUGCCAGUUGUGUAAUAACUAUCUUACAGUUUAUCACUACUGCCAAGAGCUGACUUUACAGCAGCAAGAAACCACAUGUUGAAGGUUUGAUGGCUGCAUUUCAUUCAGGAGAUUAUGAAACCUCCCCCUCUCUUUAUUUUUUUAAUAAGUGGGAAACUAAGAAAAUCACAAGUGAGAAGUGUGGUACCCAGGAAUGAAAUGUCUCCAAGUAACAGAAAAGUAACCGGAGAGGCUUUGAGAAGCUGCACUGGUGAGGAAAUCCCAAAGGCUGAGGCUCAGCCAGCACCAGCAUCCAGCUGCAAAGAGGGCACAGAAGUCACACACUGGCAAUGCAUGAGGGGAGGAAGAGGAUGGAGUCAGGUGCUGGGAGGGCCAGGCACCAGCAAGAGGCCAGCAGGGUCACUCGGCAUAGCCCAGACUUUGCUCACCAGCGUGUUUUGGACUCAUUAUGUCUACAUGUAGCGGGCAGAGGAAAUAUUUCUGGGAGUGCACCAAGUGGCAAGGGUGCAUGAGGCGGGAUUUCCCUCUCCUGGGCCUGAGAUGGGGAAGGCAAACAAGGACACCUCCAGUGCUGUGCUGGGUGUGGAACGCCUUAACCAUUUAGAGAUGAUUUCUCUUUGAUAGGAUGAGUUGCAAAUCAUUUCAAAUCUUUCCUGAUUAUGUCUUUUAUUACUUUUUUAGUGAGAACAGGUGAAAUUUUGCAGUGUGGUUGUCUAAACAGAAAAAAUCUGUUCACACACCUCCUAGAACUCUAGGAAAACAAGCUUAAGAAAAAAUGGUACAUUUAACGUAAACUGCUCUGCUCACUGUAAGACUCAGGCCCAGAGCUCAUGCUUAUGUCAUGGGCCACCAGAAGCUGAGGCCAGUGCUGGGGGGAGGCUGCAGGUCACCGGGUGGCUGUGGGUGCCAGCAAGCAGACACGGUGCUCCUCAGUACUGCUCAGCACUGCCAGCGUGCUGUUGGGAAAUGGCUAGCACUGCCACACCUUCACAGACCUGCAGUGAAACCGCUGUCCCUGCAUGCCCUGAGCCAGAGCAGUAUUUUGAGCCUGGACUGCUAAAUGGUGAACAUCCUCUUUACCUCCUCCACACAAUGAUUUAUGCAAUUAUGUCCUAUAAGGACACUCCAAACAGACAAAUUAUUAUGAGCACAUGCAGUGCCCUGGAUGACCCGAGUGAAAUCAUCACAGCAGGCUUUUAUUCUGUUACUCAGGGGCGUUUAAUACUCCUUUUCACACUAGACAGCAAAUGGGAGCUACAGCAAUUUUCAUCCUGCUGCUGAAAUGCAGCAUUGCUAAUGUGUGCUGUGCCAUGCAAACCUUACCAGGCUGAUUCUGAACUUGGAGUGAACCUGGUUCAGCUGCACCUUCAUGCUCUGUGUUAUCAAAAAAAAAAAAAAUUGCUAGGCAGCAGUGCCACAUGACCUGGUAUUUUAAGGAGAUGGCCAUCAAUGAAAAUGACUAAUGAAGAAAAAAGCUUCUUCCAAAUCUCUUCACUAUGUGUUGAUUCUUUUAUAUGUUCUCAAACUAUUUUUUUUCCCUGUUGCUAAUGAGCACUUGAGAAUUUGAUUUAGCUCUCUGGAAUGACUGCCACUCACUGCUAGAAUGUUAAUCUGCCUAAACCCAUUCAGCUCCACUUACUUGGAAGUCAAUCACCUGGAGCCUGCAUUUCAAAGAGAUGCUGGCUAAUGUAGUCACAACAGAAGAGGUGUUCUGGGACAACUCUCACAGCCGGGAGUAAUCUUGGAGGGUCGAGGCUACCAGACAGCAAACAGAUUGGUGUUGAUUCCCCACGAUAAACGGCAGGAGUCAUUGCUGAUGGAGAUUGGGAGCAUGAAUGCCGGGCAGACGGGAGGCUGGUUAGCUGCAAACACAGCGCUGCAGACCACAGAAGGGAUGCAGCACUUGCGUGAUGCGUUGGGCAAACAAGCACAAUGGGCAUGGCUGGAGCUGAAGCUUUAAGGUGUUGGAGGAGGAGUCUGGCUGUCCAGAAGUAAUUAAAGAACUGAUUUAUUUUGUCUUGUACUGUCUGUGUUUUUGAUUUUGUUUUGUUUUGUUUCUUAACCCUUAACCCUCUGUAUAGAGCUGGAGAAAAUGCUACCUUGAAUAAAGUCUGAUACUAAAUGUGGGAGACGUGGAUG
rnacentral:lncRNA from 1 species